rnacentral:lncRNA from 1 species
GAGAGUGAGCAGGAACUUAGACCAAAAGGUAAUGGAGCUGAUCAUGGAGGACUUGUAAAUCAUUAGCUCCUAAAACCCUUGGAAUCUUCUAAGUGAUGAGAGGGACAAAGGAGUCUUUUGUUUCAGUCCCAUCCCUCCGGCCUCUGGGAAGGUCACGGCCACAGCACGGCUGAAGAGUGAUGUAUGUCUGCACCGGGGAUCCAAACCCAUGAACCCCGGCCACUGAAGCAGAGCAUGCUGAACUUAACAACUAGGCAAUGCAACAGGCUCCCCAAUGUUUUUUGAUCAUGGACUCUGUAUCACUUUAUGCCACU